rnacentral:rRNA from 1 species
GACGAACGCUGGCGGCGUGCCUAAUACAUGCAAGUAGAACGCUGAAGAGAGGAGCUUGCUCUUCUUGGAUGAGUUGCGAACGGGUGAGUAACGCGUAGGUAACCUGCCUUGUAGCGGGGGAUAACUAUUGGAAACGAUAGCUAAUACCGCAUAACAAUGGAUGACACAUGUCAUUUAUUUGAAAGGGGCAAUUGCUCCACUACAAGAUGGACCUGCGUUGUAUUAGCUAGUAGGUGAGGUAAUGGCUCACCUAGGCGACGAUACAUAGCCGACCUGAGAGGGUGGUCGGCCACCCUGGGACUGGGACACGGCCCAGACCCCUCCGGGAGGCAGCAGUAGGAAAUCUUCGGCAAUGGGGGCAACCCUGACCGAGCAACGCCGCGUGAGUGAAGAAGGUUUUCGGAUCGUAAAGCUCUGUUGUAAGUCAAGAACGGGUGUGAGAGUGGAAAGUUCACACUGUGACGGUAGCUUACCAGAAAGGGACGGCUAACUACGUG